rnacentral:rRNA from 1 species
GACGAACGCUGGCGGCGUGCUUAACACAUGCAAGUCGAACGGAAAGGCCCUGCUUUUGUGGGGUGCUCGAGUGGCGAACGGGUGAGUAACACGUGAGUAACCUGCCCUUGACUUUGGGAUAACUUCAGGAAACUGGGGCUAAUACCGGAUAGGAGCUCCUGCUGCAUGGUGGGGGUUGGAAAGUUUCGGCGGUUGGGGAUGGACUCGCGGCUUAUCAGCUUGUUGGUGGGGUAGUGGCUUACCAAGGCUUUGACGGGUAGCCGGCCUGGGAGGGUGACCGGGCACCAUGGGACUGAGAUACGGCCCAGACUCCUACGGGAGGCAGCAGUGGGGAGUCUGGCGCAGUGGGCGGAAGCCUGAUGCAGCAACGCCGCGUGCGGGAUGCCGGCCUUCGGGUUGUAAACCGCUUUCGCCUGUGACGAAGCGUGAGUGACGGUAAUGGGUAAAGAAGCACCGGCUAACUACGUG